AACGAACGCUGGCGGCAUGCCUAACACAUGCAAGUCGAACGAGACCUUCGGGUCUAGUGGCGCACGGGUGCGUAACGCGUGGGAACCUGCCCUUAGGUUCGGAAUAACUCCCCGAAAGGGGUGCUAAUACCGGAUAAUGUCUUCGGACCAAAGAUUUAUCGCCUUUGGAUGGGCCCGCGUUGGAUUAGCUAGUCGGUAGGGUAAAAGCCUACCAAGGCGACGAUCCAUAGCUGGUCUGAGAGGAUGAUCAGCCACACUGGGACUGAGACACGGCCCAGACUCCUACGGGAGGCAGCAGUGGGGAAUAUGGGACAAUGGGCGAAAGCCUGAUCCAGCAAUGCCGCGUGAGUGAUGAAGGCCUUAGGGUUGUAAAGCUCUUUUACCCGGGAUGAUAAUGACAGUACCGGGAGAAUAAGCUCCGGCUAACUCCGU
rnacentral:rRNA from 1 species